UACAGAGGGGGCGAGCGUUAUUCGGAAUUAUUGGGCGUAAAGGGCGCGUAGGCGGCCGUGUAAGUCUCGGGUGAAAUCCCUCGGCUCAACUGAGGAACUGCCUUUGAAACUGUCUGGCUUGAGGCCGGGAGGGGGUAGCGGAAUUCCCAGUGUAGCGGUGAAAUGCGUAGAUAUCGGGAGGAACGCCGGUGGCGAAAGCGGCGUACUGGACCUCUUCUGACGCUGAGGCGCGAAAGCUAGGGGAGCAAACGGG
rnacentral:rRNA from 1 species